GAGCGUGUGGAGCAUUUUCAAAAUUACAUGGGCGUGACCUUGUCAAAGCACCAGCUCUCAUCUGGUGUUGGAGAUUAUUCAUGAUCAAGCUGUGGAAUCACGGCGUCCUCGAUGCUCGAACGAUGAAUAAUUGUAAUAUCGUUCUGGAACAAUAC